rnacentral:piRNA from 1 species
UGCCGUUGAUGUUGCGAACGCGCCGG